rnacentral:lncRNA from 1 species
UCCAAUGGCAACUCUGCCAAGGCGCCUAUGAGAGCCUCUUGGCUUUUACCUGGUCUGCGAGAAAUCAAACUUUGGGCACAAGUCAUGAAGCCGACAAGCCCGGGAGACACAGUGUCAGAAUUACAAGGAACACUACAAGGCCUGUUAGAGAAGAAAGGGUAGAAUCCCGAGAAUGUUUUCCCCACAGUGCUGAUAAGGAGAGACCACUAUCCCAUCUACUGCUACAGCUCUGGAGACAGAGCUCUCCCACCUGUCAUAUAGAACACAAGGACCAAUCUGCAGAGAAAGAGCAUCCAAACCUGAUCCAGUGGACACUGGGGAAAAACUCACCACAGCUGAGUGUGGAAAAACAAGGCCAACACACACAUCUCUGCACAGAUACAUCUCCCAUAAAGAAACUAAAGUGUUAAUUUACAGGGCACUGUUGCAGACCCACUUCAGCUGGAAGCUAGGAACAUGGACAAGGAGCCUCUCUACCACCAAGGGAGAGAGAGGAAUGUGCUCUUGUCCUGGCAUUGCAUCCACAGGAGGGGCAGGAAAUUCUUUGAAGGUCAGUAACCCCAUACCCCAAUUAACAGUGCUUAAGUGUGAGGCUCCCUCAGAACAUCAGAGAUAUCCUCACUCCCUCACCCCUGCCACCAGGCUAAGAAGCAUGG